AUGCACUCCUUAGGAGGUUGUGUUAUUAUUUUAUCAUCGAAUUUAUCCUUUGAUAUUACUGAGGGCGAUAAGAUGGAAAUGGCUUCGGAGCUUACUCACAGCCUGUUCAAAGCUGCUUCUAUCUUUUAUCUCGUCUUUUCUAGAUGGGGUGAUGUUCUGGCCCUAAGUAGCCCAUUCAAGGAGAGGGAUACUUGGAAAACUAAGGCCGAACCUAUGGAGAUGAAGUGCAUUAAUAUUUAG